rnacentral:rRNA from 1 species
GUGUCAGCAGCCGCGGUAAGACGAACCGUGCGAACGUUAUUCGGAAUCAUUGGGCUUAAAGCGCGUGUAGGCGGAUGGGAACGUCGAUGUUGAAAGCCCCCGGCUCAACCGGGGAACUGGCGUCGAAACGACCCGUCUGGAGGGGCAUAGGGGGAGCUGGAACUUCCGGUGGAGCGGUGAAAUGCGUUGAGAUCGGAAGGAACGCCCGUGGCGAAAGCGAGCUCCUGGAUGUCUUCUGACGCUGAGACGCGAAAGCUAGGGUAGCGAACGGGAUUAGAUACCCCGGUAGUCCUAGCCGUAAACGAUGGGCACUGGGUAGGGGGCUCGCCGAUGGGCUCCCUGCCGUAGGGAAACCGUGAAGUGCCCCGCCUGGGGAGUAUGGUCGCAAGGCUGAA